rnacentral:rRNA from 1 species
ACUCAAAGGAAUUGACGGGGGCCCGCACAAGCAGCGGAGCGUGUGGUUUAAUUCGAGGCUACACGAAGAACCUUACCUGGGGUUGACAUACAGCUAGUACUGAGGUGAAAGCCGAGGGACCGCAAGGAGGCUGUACAGGUGCUGCAUGGCUGUCGUCAGCUCGUGCCGUGAGGUGUUAGGUUAAGUCCUGUAACGAGCGCAACCCCCGGGUCUAGUUACACGGUGUCUAGACCGACUGCCCGUGACAAGCGGGAGGAAGGUGGGGACGACGUCAAGUCAGCAUGGCCUUUAUCUCCAGGGCUACACACACGCUACAAUGGCCGGUACAAUGGGUCGCCAAGCCGCAAGGCGGAGCCAAUCCAGACAAAGCCGGUCACAGUUCGGAUUGUGGGCUGCAACCCGCCCACAUGAAGUCGGAGUUGCUAGUAACCGCAGGUCAGCUAUACUGCGGUGAAUACGUUCCCGGGCCUUGUACACACCGCCCGU